AUUGAACGCUGGCGGCAGGCUUAACACAUGCAAGUCGAGCGAGCGGCGGACGGGUGAGUAAUGUCUGGGCACCUGCCUGAUGGAGGGGGAUAACUACGGGAACCGGUAGCUAAUACCGCAUACCAUCAGAUGUGGUCAGAUGGGAUUAGCUAGUAGGUGGGGUAAUGGCUCACCUAGUCGACGAUCCCUAGCUGGUCUGAGAGGAUGACCAGCCAAACUGGAACUGAGACACGGCCCAGACUCCUACGUGAGGCAGCAGUGGUGAAUAUUGCACAAUGGGCGAAAGCCUGAUGCAGCCAUGCCGCGUGUGUGAAGAAGGCCUUCGGGUUGUAAAGCACUUUCAGCGAGGAGGCGUUACUCGCAGAAGAAGCACCGGCUAACUCCGUGCCAGCAGCCGCGGUAAUAC
rnacentral:rRNA from 1 species